AUUUGGUGAGGAAUUAAAGACUAUAGAGAUCACGCCGAUGGAAGAUGAAGUGAUGAGUGAAGUGGCUGCUCCACCUCGUCGUGUUCUUCUUGUAUCGGCUGGUGCCAGCCACAGUGUGGCACUUCUGAGUGGAAAUGUUGUUUGUUCGUGGGGACGAGGAGAGGAUGGACAGUUAGGCCAUGGUGACACUGAUGAUCGACUAUUUCCUACAAAACUGAGUGCAUUGGAUGGCCAAGACAUAAUAUGUGUUACUUGUGGAGCUGAUCAUACUAUGGCACGUUCUGAGUCUGGCAGGGAUGUAUAUAGUUGGGGAUGGGGUGACUUUGGAAGGUUGGGUCAUGGUGAUCAUAGUGACUUGCUCAUUCCUCAUCCCAUAAAAGCAUUACAGGGUCUAAUGAUACAACAAAUUGCCUGUGGGGACAGUCAUUGUUUGGCAGUUACCAUGGACAGCCAGGUGCUGAGUUGGGGACGCAAUCAAAAUGGUGAACUUGGACUUGGAACCGCAGAGGACUCUCUUCUGCCACAAAAAAUUCAAAUUUUUGAGGAAAUACCUAUCAAAAUGGUUGCUGCUGGUGCUGAACAUAGUGUAGCAAUCACUAAAGAUGGGAAUUUGUAUGGAUGGGGCUGAGGCCGAUAUGGAAACUUGGGAUUGGGUGACAGAAACGAUCGAUUGCUGCCUGAGAAAGUGACUGUUGAUGGUGACAAGAUGGCCAUGGUUGCUUGUGGCUGGCGGCACACAAUAUGUGUUUCAUCUUCUGGUGGAUUAUACACAAAUGGAUGGGGCAAAUACGGCCAGCUAGGACAUGGGGAUUUUGAGGAUCAUCUUGUGCCUCGCAAGGUUCAAGCCUUGAGUGAUAAGUUCAUUUCGCAGGUAUCAGGUGGGUGGAGGCAUAGUAUGGCACUCACGUCUAGUGGACAACUUUUGGGCUGGGGAUGGAAUAAGUUCGGACAGAUUGGAGUUGGUAACAAUUUUGAUUGUUGCUCUCCCAUGCAAGUGAACUUUCCCCAUGAUCAGAAAGUACAAAUGAUCUCAUGCGGGUGGAGACACACGAUUGCUGUUACUGAACGUGAGAAUGUAUAUUCUUGGGGAAGAGGAGCAAAUGGACAACUUGGGAAUGGAGAAACCAUAGACCGCAAUGUUCCAACAAUUAUUGAGGCCUUCAGUGUUGAUGGAUCUUCCGGACAGCACAUAGAAUCCUCAAAACCUUAUCCAUCAUCAGGGAAAUCCUCGUCCUCCAUAUCAGAGAGAUAUGCAAUUGUUCCAGAUGAAACUGCCUCGGGAUCACAACCUACAACUUCAGAAGAGGGAAAUAGGCAUGAUACCAGUGUCCCUGAAAGUGAUGUCAAUUGAUAGCACAUCAAUAAUAAGUUAAUGAGAAUGGUGUUCCAAUUAGGGAGAGCAGCAUGCAUAAUAAGGAGCUGAGGAUAAGGAUAAAUAUGUGCAUAAGCAGUAGCGUUGCAUGGGAGGCUGUUAUGUGUGAGUGUUAAUUAUGAACUAGUGCAUGUAUCAGUUGUUAUGAUGAGUCAGUAUGUUUGUUGCGUGUAUUGGUUACAAUAUGGUUUUUUAAAAUAUGGCUUGGAACAUUCUCUGCAUGAUUUAUAUUAGUAAUAAAUAUAGAAAUCAUUCCCUAUUUUGAGA